UUUGCUUCUUGGCCUUUUGGCUAAGAUCAAGUGCAGAAUCUGUUCUUAUCAGUUUAAUAUCUGAUACGUCCCCUUCCUAGGGAGUCGGGACUAUAUAUAAAAUUGAUUUUUGGAUCAGGGAGAUGGAAUAGGGGCUUGUUCUGCCCACUCCACGCAUCGACCUGGUAUUGCAGUACUUCUGGGAACGGUGCACCCCUC